rnacentral:rRNA from 1 species
AUUGAACGCUGGCGGCAGGCCUAACACAUGCAAGUCGAACGAGUGGCGGACGGGAGAGCAAUGACUGUGAAACUGCCUGAUGGAGGGGGAUAACUAAUGGAAACGGUAGCUAAUACCGCAUACCAUCGGAUGUGCCCAGAUGGGAUUAGCUAGUAGGUGGGGUAAAGGCUCACCUAGGCGACGAUCCCUAGCUGGUCGGAGAGGAUGACCAGCCACACUGGAACUGAGACACGGUCCAGACUCCUACGGGAGGCAGCAGUGGGGAAUAUUGCACAAUGGGCGCAAGCCUGAUGCAGCCAUGCCGCGUGUAUGAAGAAGGCCUUCGGGUUGUAAAGUACUUUCAGCGGGGAGGCGUUACCCGCAGAAGAAGCACCGGCUAACUCCGUGCCAGCAGCCGCGGUAAUAC